rnacentral:lncRNA from 1 species
CAGCCAAGCAGGAAGCCGGGACCGCCCUUUCUGGGGAGCUGGGAGUGGGCCAGGGUCCAGCCUGGCUGGAGGCUCCUGCUAUGGGGAGAGGCCAGAGCCUUUCCGAGCCCACCUGCCUGACAGCCCUGGUGCCAGCAGGCCCUUUCUGGAUGUCACAGUGUUCUUGUCUCUAAGAUUGAUCGCAGAGUUGAACAACAGAGAAUGUGUGCACAGUGCCAGGCACAGGUGUGGUCAAGAUUCACCUGGGAGAGGAAGCGGGCAGGGGCAGAGGAGUGUGGCCACCUGAGCUGAGAGGCUGCAUGGCAGGUGACCAUUAUUACCAGUGUCACUGGCCAGGUCACCUCUCUGAAUUUUGUGGUUGCAACUUCCAUGAUUCCCUAGAGCUGUUUUUACCUAGAAUUAAUGAAAAAUUCUGCACAUUAAAUUCGUGCUGUUAGAAUCAC